rnacentral:lncRNA from 1 species
CUGUCUUCUAGUUCCCUGAGACAGACACACCUGAAAUGAGUAACUGAUGUAAUCAAAAUUAUAUUCUUAAAAAGUUCUCUCUUGUUUUAGGUUCCUUAGCAAAUACUCUCUCUCUCUCAAUGGUUUCUAAUGGUGAAUUUCUUUUAAGAAAAAUUUAUCUCUGUAUUCUACUCCCUUUUCACCCACUAAAACACUUAGAUUUUCAUGAGCCACUCCCAAGAAAUCAGAUCUGAUUUCUCUUAUUUAAUGGGUUUGCUAAACCAUCUUCAACAGACCUACUUCAGUGUCUUCUAACAGAUAUCUUCUACUAGCAUCGAAGAUGUUCACUGAUAUCUCAGAGCUCUUCAUAAGAGCAGGGAGACACAGGAUGUCUGCCUUCGUGGUCUGCCCUGUAACUUAAGCUGUUCCCCAAGGGUGCCAGCAAUAAGGUGACAAAAGUUCUUUGAUGGUGCAAGUGACUUUACACACACACACACACACACAUCUUGUAGCUUGGCUAGAUUUAGCAAAUGCAAAUAUAGGACUUCCAGUUGGAUCUCAAUAUCAGAUAAGCAGCAAUUUUUUGUUGUUGUUGUUAGUUUAAGUUUGCCCUAAAUAUUGCAUAGGCAGGCCAGGCGCGGUGACUCACACCUGUAAUCCCCGCACUUUGGAAGGCCGAGGCGGGCGGAUCACUUGAGGUCAGGAGUUUGAGACCAGCCUCACCAAAACCCGGGAGACAGAGGUUGCAGUGAGCCGAGAUUGUGCCACUGCACUCCAACCUGGGCGACGCAGUGAGACUCUGUCUUAAAAAAAAAAAUGCAUGGGCAGAUUGUAGGGAUUUUGCUUGUGCCAUGUUGUGCCUCAUUGAUCAGGAGCCAUGCUGGGGAUAAUGUCUCUGCCUUGCCUGAGAAAGAUGAUGGACUGGAGACAGGAGGAGAUUUUACUAUUGGAGUAGGGGUAGUGAUGAAUCUUAGAAAGAGUGGUUGUGUGUCCCAGUUCUGUAGCCUGUGACCUUUGGUAGGUGAUUUAAUCUGUCCGAGCCUCAGUUUCCUCAUCUGUCAAAUGGGGAUAAUUACAGUAACAACAGAAAACAUUUUCUGAGUGCUUACAAAGUAGUAGGUGCUAUUCUAAAGGCUUCACAUGGAUUGAAUGCAUUUAUUCUUACAACAGUGCUAUGAGGUGGGUAUCAUUAUUAGUAGUAUUCUCAUUUUAUGUCUGAAGAUAUAGUACACAGAGAAACUAGGUAACUUGCCCAAGGACAGAGCUACUCAGUGGUGGAGCGGGGAUGGAUUUCAAUUCAGAAACUAAGGUUAACUCUAUACUGUCAUGAAAUAGAUUGUGCAUAGCACUGAGCCCAGCGACAGGUACCAAGUCAGUGCUUACUCCUUGCUGUCGUCAACCUCUUUAGAGGAGGUGCUCUGCCUGGCCCCUGGAAAAGGCGAGCUUCAAUAAGCCAGAAAAUGA